GCCAAGGCCGGGAGCCAGAGCCUAGGGGAGCCGUCGUCUCCGCCCCCGCACUGUCGGGGGGCGGGCCCAAGAGUGCUGGCCAGGCCUUGCAAGUGCGAGUGUCCGCGAGCUGCAGGGGAGGCAGGACGCGUCACACUCGCGGGGGCGUUCCGAGUCCCUGGGGCGCGCCGGCGGGGAGGGAGAGAAGGAGUCUGAGCACCCGCUGGGCGCGGCACUGGGCAGAGGCGCGCGUGUUGCCGGUGUACUGAAGCUGCCCGCGACCGGCGGGAGCGGCGUUUCUCGCUUCCUCGGGGUCCGGUACUCGAAGCGCACGGCAGUCUGACCUCGGCUGGGAAGCGUUAAGCCCCAGCAGAGGGCUGGGAGGGAGUGCAGGAGCACUUGCGGGGUCUGCGCAGAAUACACAGAAGAUCGGGGCAACGAGCAAAGCAAAGCAACUCACCAAACAAUGAAGUUAGGAGAACCCAAUCCCGUGAAAUGAGCGGAACAAGGGAAUAACAGUGCAAAGGCAGCUUGAACAGGCACUACUUCAAUCCCUAAACUUCUCAUGGCAUGGAUUCCUAGGAAAGAGGAUCUUAACUCCUACAGUUUUUCUUUCAAGCUGUAAACUCUGCAGCUUUUCUUUGGAUGGGUACCUGGUGGCAGGCCGGCCCCUGGUUUUUGUGAAUACGAGAGCAAGAGUGCAGUUGAAGAUCCUCCCCCAGGCCCCUGCCCCCUUGUCUUCCUAACCCCUGACUCAGUCUUGCACCACAAGGAGUCUUGCACAGAAAUAUGUGGAGAGUAUAGUUCAAUAUGUGGACAGUAUAGUUCAAUAUGUGGACACUAUAGUUGUUGAUAACCAAGCUCUCUCCCCAAAGCCACCUUGGUCCUGGGAAUAUGCAUCUCAAACAUGCAAAUGACCCUUGAUUGGAUGGACCUAGGGAAGAUGCCUGAUCAAGCCCUGGAAGCGAGUUAUGGGACCAACAUUUGAGCAGGAAAUUUCAUGAUCUCAGGUACCUGGAAGGUGGUCUAGAAUGGAGGGGUAAUGGGGUCUGGGUGAAUAGUGCCCUGAGGGUGUCUCACCUGUGGUAAGGUAUGUGACAAGAGGAAGACUAGAGUGGGCCCUAUAAAUCUUGGGAGGCCAGUAUCCUAUUAAUUACUGUGCUGCUCAGCAUUGCUUGUUCAAAUUACUCCUUUUAAUUGCUUCCAGCAUUUGGACAGAAUACAUACAUAUGUGUGUGUGUGUGUGUGUGUGUGUGUGUGUGUGUGUUUGGUUUAGCAGUUUGCUGUGUUCCCUGUUGCUAGAUUGCUGAGUAGGAGAGUUGAUAAGUUUGCUGUCGCUACGUAGCAACUGGACCAUCACGUUUGUUCCUUUAAGUGCAAGUCUAAUCUUGCUUGUCAGUUACCCCCAGUUAAUUUUGUGGUUUAAAAGCUACUUCUUCCCAUUUCUAAUUUUAGUGUCAGCAUUUUGAUACAGUUUCAGUUUACAUAGAGCCUAGAGUUCCUUAACAGAAAACAGAUUAACACCCUCAAUUCUAGAAUUGAGCCAUAGAGCUUUGCUAAUUGUUUAGUUCCUGUUUGUGGGGCCAUUGUAUGUGGGGAACACUAUGUGAUGGUUAAUUUUAUGUGUCGACUUGACUAGGCCAUGGGAUGCCCAGGUAGCUGGUUAAACAUGAUGGCGGGGUAUGUCUGUGAAAGUGUUUCUGGAGGAGAUUAGUGUUUGAGUUGAUGGACUGAGUAAAGCACAUGCCCUUCUCAGUGUUGGUGGGCUUCAUGCAAUCCAUUAGGGCUUGAAUAGACUAAAAAAGUAGGGGAAGGUGAAAUUCACUCUCUGCCUCACUGCAUGAGUGGGGACAUUGAUCUCCUGCCGCUGACACUUAUGGUUUUCAGGCCUUCAGACCAGGACUGGAAUCUACACCACUGGCUCUUCAGCUCCCAGACUUUCAAACUUUGUCACCAGCUUUACUGGGUCUCCAGCUUGUACAUGACAGAUUGUGGGACUUCUCAG
rnacentral:lncRNA from 1 species